CCUACGGGGGGCAGCAGGCGAGAAACCUUAGCAAUGUGCGAAAGCACGACUAGGUUAAUCCGAGUGAUUUCUGCUGAAGAAAUCUUUUGUCAGUUCUAAAUCUACUGGUGAAUAAGGGGUGGGCAAGUCUGGUGUCAGCCGCCGCGGUAAUACCAGCACCUCGAGUGGUUAGGAGGUUUAUUGGGCCUAAAGCAUCCGUAGCCGGCUAUGCAAGUCUCCGGUUAAAUCCAUCUGCUUAACAGAUGGGCUGCCGGAGAUACUACAUAGCUAGGGAGCGGGAGAGGUAGACGGUAUUCGGUGGGUAGGGGUAAAAUCCUCUGAUCCAUUGAGGACCACCAGUGGCGAAGGCGGUCUACCAGAACGCGUUCGACGGUGAGGGAUGAAAGCUGGGGGAGCAAACCGGAUUAGAUACCCCAGUAGUC
rnacentral:rRNA from 1 species